ACACAGGUCUCCAGGGCAGUGCCAAGUGGAGUACUUGCCCCAUUCCCCAGCUUCUAGAAGGGCUUUACCUACAACAUGAUGCCUGAGAUAAGAAUAGACAGAACGAAGCAGCUCUGGCUCCCCGCUGGGUUGAGGACAUUUCCACGAAGAGCCAGCACCCUUGGCCCCAAGAUUUCUUAAGAACCUAAAAGUGAUUGCAUUCAGGACUCAGCCUGCUAAUCUAGCAUAAUCUCCUCACCUCAAGAUCCUUAAUCACAUAUGUGGAUAUCCUGUUUCCAUAAAAGAUUUCCUUCAAUAAACAUGGAACAAUAAUACCUACCCUUACGUUGCCAUAUGGCAGACACUGUUCUGAGCACUUACCUGAAGUCCCUCAUUUCAUAGGUACAACCACCCUAUAUGGAAGUACUAUUCUAAUCCCCUU